CCGGCACCCACGGGGGACGGGGCGCACGUGGACCUGGCACGGGGCCCCCCCGGGGCGUGGGGACCCCCGCGAGGGGCAGUGGCAAGAAAAGGGUGACAGCCUCCUAACACCGUGGGGCCCCCCAACCCCCUUACUUGCUGCCCGCAGCCUGGGCAGGGGGUGCAGGGAGGGCCCCCAGCUGCUCCUGACACUCAUCCGCUUGUGUCCCCUGCCGAGACUCAGCAUCCCUGGGUUCCCCAAUCCCAUCCUGUGUGGCACCGAGCCCCAGGCCCUGGCCCCAACGCCACGCGCACCAGGUGUGCACCGGGGAGGACAGGGGCAGCUGGGCGCAUUUUGCCAAGCUCCAGACCGGGCACGGAGACCGGGCAAAGGAUGCCCCUAAGGACAGGUGCUGUCUGCGGCGCGGGAAGAGGAGAAAAAGAUGUGUAACAAAAUGCUCCCCGGGGCCCAGCAGAGCUCCCCAGGAGCCCCGAGGGCCAGCCGAGCUCCCUGGGCGCAGCGGGUGCCACGCGGGUGCUGCCGUGCAGGGCCAUGGGUGCCGGGCACAGGCGGCGCGCCCCAGCAGCGCUGCUGCUCGCAGGCUUCGUUAGCAAAAACUCGCUCACUGCUAAAAAUGGCCCCGCGCCGCCGCUCCAGACGGGAGGCCGCUCGAUCACGCCUGCUCCCGAGCGUUCGAGCAGGAGCUAAAAACAGCUCGCCGCCACCGGUGGCUCCUGCCUGGUGGCUCCUGCCGUUCUUUGCGGGGCUCUUUGAUGCCGGAGAACCGGCUCCCAGCUUUUCAUGCUGAUUUGGCACAAUUUUGCCCAUCCCGAUUGGGGUCCGUCCCCCCCACCUCGAUCCCCUGUGGGGAUCGCAGCUGGGGGCGGCUGCGUGCCACGCUCUGCCCGUCCCUGAGCCACUGCUCCCCCUUUGCCACCCAGUGCUGGGAAUGCCGCCAGCACGAGGUGCCCACGGGGCCGCAGCCACCAAGUGCCACCCCAACGUGUCCCCAAGCGCUGCCACCUUCCCCAGGGAGCAGCAGGGCUGUGCCCCGCUCGCCUGCGUGCCCGCAGCCCCGUGCCCGGCCACUCAUCUAUUAUAGAUGGCUCCGAUUUUAAUAAUUAAUCCCUGCUAACGACAGCACUUUCCCCAAAUAAAACAUUUAAACUGCUGCGUGCGCAGGGUGUGCUGCCGGAGCGGGCCGCCCGGGUGCUGUGCUGCAGCCUGACGGGGCGGCACCUCAGGGUGCUAUUUGCUGGGUGCUGUUUGCCCGGUGCCCACCCUUGGGUGCUCCCCUGAGAUGCCCCCAGGCCCCUCAGCUGGGUGCUGGGUGCUGCGUGAGCUGGGGGAUGCCACCCAGCCGGGUCCCUUCGCUGUGUCCCUUGUGCCACGCCGGUGCUUGCAGCGGCACGGCUGUGGCACUAACUGGGGGGUGUUUGCUCCUCGUCUCCAGCCGUGUAAUUAGGGCAGGAUAAAUGUGCGUUAGCCUGAAAUCUGUCAUCUCCACCAGCAAAUCUGGGGGGGGGGGGAGCAGCCAGCUGCAUCCACCCCUCCCUGUAGCCUUCCCUCCGUGCCGCCAACCCUCCAUCCAUCCGUCCGCCCACGCCUCCGUCCCCGCAUCCCCGCUGCGGCCGUGCCCC